CCGUCCCCUUCCGCUCUCCCCGCCCUGCGUCUCUGCCUUCUUACCCCGUCUGGCCUCGCGGCUCCCGGUUCGCUCCUCCGCUCCGCACCCUGCCCUGCUCUCCCGGACCGUCUUCUCCCGUGCGUUCCCUUCCACUCCCGACUCUCUCCCUUCACCUCUCCCUCCUUCUCCUUCCCCAGACGUCGUUCUCCCCGCCACCGUCUCCCCUCCCCGCCUCUCUCUCAGGGCCUCCCCCCAGCCUGUCUUCUCGGUCUCCCUUCCUCGUACCCCUCCUCAUUUCGUGUGUUUCCCCCUGCGCUUUCUCUUCCCUUCUUUCCUCCUGGCUCCCCUCUCCUGCUGGCUUCCAUCCCUUCUCUCCCCACCCCUUCAAUCUCUCUCCCUCUUUCCUCUCUCUCCUCUCUGAAUCUCUCUCUCCCCUCCCAGACUUCUCCCCUCGCACUGGCCUCCCUUCCUCUGAGCCUUGUCUCCCGGGAGGCCCCUCCACGCCCAGGCCCCCGCAGGGGCCCUGAGCUCCUCUCCCGUCUCCCUGCCUGAAGUCCUGAGCUGACAUCCACCUGGGGAUCUGUGCCGCGUUGGUGGCAAGAGGUUGCACAGCCCGAAGCAGGGCUGCGAAGCCUGCGGCCCCCCGAGGUGCAAGGGCACGUGUGACACCCUUUUUCUCUCUCUUUUCUGUCUGUCCUGGACCCUGGACACUGCCCGGAGGAAGGAGGCCUGCCCCUGGCCCAGGAAGGAGGAAACGAGGAGCUGACCAGAGACCGGGAGUGAGUUGCCUGGAGACCACAGCAUGCGACAUGGAGCGUGGGAGGACCUCACCCGACUCCCAUUUCACGGAUGAGAACACAGGCACCGGUGUUCCCGAAGAUCAGCAUCUGCUAGGACAGAGGCUUCGUGGGGACCCCGGCCUUCCCAAAGGGCCAACAGCACCCCCCGCAGGGCACUUCUCUUCGUGGAGAGGGGCCAUGUGGGCCUGACCUCCCCAGAGUAUCCGGCGGAGUAUCCUGUGGGCCUGGGAGGUAUUCUCCGGCGGCGCGAAACCUUUUAUCGCCGCCUACUGAUAAAGGACGGAACUGCAACCCGGCUGGAUUAGGCACCGUGAAUGGCCGCGAAAAAC